rnacentral:rRNA from 1 species
AGAGUUUGAUCCUGGCUCAGGAUUAACGCUGGCGGCGUGCCUAACACAUGCAAGUCGAACGAGGUAGCAAUACCUAGUGGCAGACGGGUGAGUAACGCGUGGUCAACCUACCGUUGAGUGGGGGAUAACUAACCGAAAGGUUAGCUAAUACCGCAUACGUAUCCGGGGGGCAUCCCCUGGUUAUAAAAGGAGCAAUCCGCUCGAUGACGGGACCGCGUCCCAUUAGCUAGUUGGUGGGGUAACGGCCUACCAAGGCUCCGAUGGGUAGCUGGUUUGAGAGAGCGACCAGCCACACUGGGACUGAGAAACGGCCCAGACUCCUACGGGAGGCAGCAGUGAGGAAUUUUCCGCAAUGGGCGAAAGCCUGACGGAGCGACGCCGCGUGUGGGAAAGGAAGGCCUUCGGGUCG